UAGAGGAAGUAAAAGUCGUAACAAGGUCUCCGUUGGUGAACCAGCGGAGGGAUCAUUACAGAGUUGCAAAACUCCCAAAACCAUUGUGAACUUUACCUUAACCGUUGCUUCGGCGGGCGGGCAGCCCGGGGUUCUCCCCGGUGCGGCCCCACCCGGCCCCCCUCGCGGAGGCGCCCGCCGGAGGUAUCUAACUCUUUGUCACUUAUGGCCUCUCUGAGUCUUCUGUACUGAAUAAGUCAAAACUUUCAACAACGGAUCUCUUGGUUCUGGCAUCGAUGAAGAACGCAGCGAAAUGCGAUAAGUAAUGUGAAUUGCAGAAUUCAGUGAAUCAUCGAAUCUUUGAACGCACAUUGCGCCCGCCAGUAUUCUGGCGGGCAUGCCUGUUCGAGCGUCAUUUCAACCAUCAAGCCCCAGGCUUGUGUUGGGGACCUGCGGCUGCCGCAGGCCCUGAAAACCAGUGGCGGGCUCGCUAGUCACACCGAGCGUAGUAGCAUUAUCUCGCUCAGGGCGUGCUGCGGGUUCCGGCCGUUAAAAGCCUUUUAUUACCCAAGGUUGACCUCGGAUCAGGUAGGAAGACCCGCUGAACUUAAGCAUA
rnacentral:rRNA from 1 species